UUAAUUGAAACCAAAUAAGAGGUAUGUUACUGUUAAUGACAUCAUUGAAAUUAUAAUUCCAAUUAAA
rnacentral:tRNA from 1 species